rnacentral:tRNA from 1 species
UCCCUGGUGGCUGAGUGUUAAAGAAUCUGCCUGCAAUGCAGAAGACCAGGGUUCGAUCCCUGGGUUGGGAA